UCUGAUCGAAGAGGAAGAGAGAAAUCAUUUUUAUUUGUAUAUAUGAAUUUUUUUCUUGCUUUGAGAUUUUGAAUCUGUUACAUAAAAAAAAAUACUUUAAAUAUAGCCUAUGAUGUCUUGUAUAGAUCUGUAAAAUAUACAAUUAUUAAUUAUAAAUGGUUGUAACAUCAAACAUUUCAAAUAAAAAUGGCAAAUUGUAGAAAUUAUGAAAAAUACUAUUGUUUCAAAUUACAUUUUCAUAGACUUCGAGAAAUAUUAAUUAAUUAAUAAUGCUAUGUAUCGUAUAAUCGAGGGGGAAUUUUCAUACGGAAAACACUGAAUUAAGUUGUUCAACAUGAUGUUUUUGACUAAAUAUAAAAAGGGCCUUACCACUGGGGUAUUUAAAUUUCUUUACUAAACGUUUUUCGGCUGUUUGAGCCCUCGUCAGGUAAAUUGUGUUCGAAUUCGGAACAACAUCGAACAUUUCUUUACCAAUUCACAAUGGAAUUAACAAGAAUAUAGUUAAGGAAUUUUUUAACAUUAAAAUCUAAACUAAAGUAAAGAAAUUUAAAUACCCGGUGGUGAGGAGUUUUAUAUAUUUAGUUAAAAUAGGAGCUGUGUUAGAAUAUAUUGUUAUAUUAAAGCUGUUUUUGUUUUAAUAAUAAUUCCGUUGGAUCGGUCGAGAUAGUGCACAUUGACGUAAAUUUGACGUCAGAUUGAUAUGAAAAUGUAUUUUAUCCCAAACGAAUAGAUCAAUUUCUAUUGUUUCAUAAAAGAAUUUUAAUUCCAAAAUUUAAUCGUUAAUAAUUGAAUAGUUAUUAAGACUAAAGUAAAAAAUAUAUAGGCCUAUAUACACGAAAAAAUGCAUUGUCUGAAAAUAUUCGCAAUACUAUUUGGCGAAAAUUAUGUCACUUUGAUGGCUUUGUUUAAUAAAAAAUAAAAUUAACUAUCUGAGAUGGAUAAAAUUAAAGUACGUGCGAUUCUGUUCGUUCGGUUGGAAUAGUGCAAACUUAGGCUAUAUCUUAAUUUGAAGUCACCUCGAGUUUUACAGCUAUAACGGCGUGGAAUUUAUGUAAAAAUGUUCAUCCCAACGAAACGAAUCGUCUGAUAAGAUAUAAAACGAAUGGAAAUUAAUGUCGUAUUUAAUUUUUAUGAAAUUAAUUUAAAUUUAUAAUUUUUCGAUUAAUUUCGUUUUUCUACUUUAUUUUUUCCCCUCCCAUCGGACGCGAAUUUCUAGAUUACGAUAUUUUCAAUGCAAGUUCGUUUGGAAUUUCUUUGCUGGUCCUAACCGCAAAGUUUCGAUUAAUGAGAAUUAUAAAAAUAUGAACUAUAUCCGUAAGUUUAUGGACGUAAACGUGGUUAAGAAACUUGUCUGUAAUAUCUCUAACAAUAAACACCCUUUUUAUCAAACUGCUAAUUCUAAAUCUUUGUAUGAAAUCGAAUAACGAUCGCCAUUUAAUUUGCAUCUUUCUCCCUUCAGAAUGCUGACGUCACAGAUGAAUUAUUCAUAUUCCAGAAAUCAAAAAAACGCUCCAUAAAUUAAUACGUUUGUUGAUAAUAUUGUCUGCUUUUUACGUAAUUUGUCCAAUGACGGAACUUACGAUUCCUCUGGCCUUAUGCCAAAGCGAUGACGAAAUUCGGCACAACCAACAAACUACUCAAGUUACAAUUCUUUCCAUUAUUAUUAUUAUUAUUCCGUUUGUUUCUAUUAUUUUGUAUACUUAAAGAUCGGAAAUCUGUAAUUCAGUUAGAAUAAAGGGUAUAGGAAAUGAUUUUCGAACGAUGAUUAAUAAGUUUGUGUUAAGAAAUUUCUAGCUGUCGAUGGCUGAAAAACAAUGAGAACGAUAAUUAUGAUAAUUAUUCAAUCGUAAUUUUCCGAAUGAAUGAAGGUUAAGUCAUUUUUAGUACACCGUUCGAAAGUAUGGCAAGCGUAAAAUACGUCAUCAAAACAAUGAGAAAAACACCGUUAACAAAUUUUUCCACUCAUUGUAAACGUAACGAGAUACUCGAAUGGCUAUUCACUUUCUAUAUUUCUUUACUGUACUUCAUUGUCUCUACUCUGGUGUGAAAAUACUUCUACCGCCGGCCAUAGAAAUAAAUAUGAUUAUUCUCGAAAAAUUUCGAAAAUGUAUAUACAA